rnacentral:rRNA from 1 species
GGCUCCGUUGAAUGGUCUGCCUUCUCGGUAUGCACUGUUCUGGCGGGGUUCUCCCUCUUGGCGAGGCGGUAUGCUCUUAACCGGGUGUAUCGCGGAGCUAGGACUUUUACUUUGAAAAAAUUAGAGUGUUUAAAGCAGGCCCACGCUUGAAUACAUUAGCAUGGAAUAAUAGAAUAGGACUGCGGUUCUAUUUUGUUGGUUUCUAGGACCGAAGUA